rnacentral:lncRNA from 1 species
AGAGGGAUGUUGAAUGAGGGAGAGAGAAAAGGGGUGAGGGAGAGGAGUUGAGAGGAAGUAGGCGAUUAGGACCAUCCAAAGUCAGAGAUUAGGGCACCAAAUUCCAUAGAAAAUAAUAAAAAAAAGAAGAUAGGUAAUCAGUUAGAAACCAAUUAAGGCAAAUUUUAUGAUAUAUUCGUAAUAAGAAAUGGUUAAAAUGAGCCUCUAUCUCCUAACAAAAGAUAAACAAGCAUUAUAGCAAAGUCCAAGAACUGAAUGGCCACGCACCGGAUCUAGACUCAUCAAUAAUAAUGUACAAGAUUUGUGUACCAUCAGGAUUUUGUCUUUUUUUCCCCUAUUGCAAAAGGGGCAUUUAAUUAAUGGAGAAGAAAGUUGCAAACUAAUAGUGUCUAUGAGGAAAAUUUAUAGCAUUUUUUAAAGGAUCUCUUGCAUGCUUGAGAUAAAUGUUGGAGUAUAGAGUGGGGUUUAUGAUAUACAUUUUGUAUCAUAAGAUCAUCACACGUUUUUAAGUGUUAGGGUAUACAUAUAGUUCUUAUGAAAGGGGCAACAUUCCAUCCCAAAGUAAUGAAAAGAUGGUCAUUAAGGUUUUGAAAAGGCUGUUCUAAUGAUCUACUCUGAUGAAUUUGUUGUACUAUGUUAUAUAAGCUGUAAUUGAAAUUUUGAUAACAGUUCCAUGAUAGUGGCUGUUAUAUAUGGUAACUAUAUAGGACAAUAGAGGGUGUUAUUCGGCAAUUGUAGACAAAACAAAAUAAUGCCACGAAUUUUUUUU